CUCCCUUUUCUUCUUCUUCAUCUUCACCAUUUCUGUGGAGAAAAUACAAAAUGAAGCACUAUAUGCAACAACGAAACACGAUCUUAAGGGAGAAUCACGACGCUGCCGGAGCUACAAUGCCGCCGUCGUCAUCUCCAAACCCUAGCCUUUUGAAGCAGAAAUCGUCGAAUUCGCCAAGUAAUCCUAGCAGUAGUAGUACAAGGAAGCAUAAAUCAUCUAAAGAGAAUGCUCCUCCGCCGUAUCAUCCGUUAGAUCUGAGCUCAUCGCCGGCAGUUGGUUUGAAGAGUAAGAGUCCUCUGCCUCCUCGACCGCCGCCUAACUCGAAUAAUUUGAAACGGAAGCUUAAUUUGGAGUCUGUUGGUACUGAGAAUGUUGCUGCUGGAUCUUCUGAUUCUGGAGUAAAGGUCAUAGUGAGGAUGAGGCCGCCAACCAAGGAUGAGGAAGAGGGGGAAGUUGUUGUCCAGAAGAUCUCUAAUGAUUCUUUGUCCAUAGCUGGGCAUACUUUUACAUUUGAUUCUAUUGCAGAUACGCAAUCAACACAGGUUGAUAUAUUCCAGCACGUGGGAGCUCCUGUUGUUGAGAAUUGUCUUGCUGGGUUUAACAGCUCAGUAUUUGCUUAUGGGCAGACUGGUAGUGGGAAGACAUAUACAAUUUGGGGACCAGCCAACGCCUUGUUGGAUGAAAACUUGACCAUUGAUCAACAGGGCUUAGCUCCACGUGUUUUUCAGAGGCUUUUUGAACGUAUUGAGGAGGAACAAAUCAAGCAUGCUGACAAACAGCUCAUGUAUCAGUGUCGAUGUUCUUUUCUUGAGAUAUACAAUGAACAAAUCACUGAUCUGUUGGAUCCUAGUCAAAAAAAUCUCCAGAUCAGGGAAGAUGUCAGAACAGGUGUUUAUGUGGAAAAUUUGACUGAGGAAUGUGUGUCCUCCAUGAAGGAUGUGACAAAGCUUUUGAUGAAGGGAGUGUCAAACAGGCGAACUGGUGCUACAAGUGUAAAUGCUGAGAGUUCACGUUCUCACAGUGUAUUCACCUGUGUUGUUGAAUCACGAUGCAAGAGCAUGGCAGAUGGUAUAAGCCACCUAAAGAGGAGUAGAAUAAAUCUUGUUGAUCUUGCUGGAUCAGAAAGGCAAAAGCUAACUGGUGCAGCUGGUGAACGCUUGAAGGAAGCAGGGAACAUCAAUAAAUCACUUUCACAGUUGGGGAACUUAAUAAACAUUCUUGCAGAAGUUUCUCAAACGGGCAAGAAUAGGCACAUCCCCUAUAGAGAUUCCAAGUUGACAUUUUUGUUACAGGAAUCUCUCGGUGGGAAUGCAAAACUCGCAAUGAUCUGUGCCGUUUCUCCAUCCCAAAGUUGUAAGAGUGAGACUUUGAGUACCCUGAGAUUUGCCCAACGUGCAAAGGCAAUCAAGAACAAGGCGGUAAUCAAUGAAGAAAUGCAAGAUGAUGUCAAUGUUUUGAGAGAAGUUAUACGUCAGCUAAGGGAGGAAUUGCUAAGAAUGAAGGCAAAUGGUUAUCAAGCAGAUCAGGCAGGGUGGAGCGUUCGUAGAAGCUUAAAUCUGUUAAAGUUCAGCCUUAACCAUCCAAUGAAUCUACCUGUUGACGAUGACGGUGAUACAGAAAUGGAAGUCGUUGAGGAAGCUGAACUAUUAGGUCUCUUAUCAGAAGGCAGUAAAGAGAAUAGUAUGCUUGGGAUCCUGCGGAGGACGUUUUCAAAAGGCUCUUUGUUACUUGAUUCUGCAGUACAGCAUGGGGGAAAGAAGUAUGGCUGCAACAGGGAGCAAGCCUUCGAGGAUACAGAUGUUACCAUGGAGGAAGAGGUAUCUGAAUCAGUUAUCGAGCAUGAAAGCAGUACUGUUGAUGGUGCUGGACUGCAGAACUUCAAAAGGCUAGGUAAUGAUUUUUCUAUGGAGCCAACUGAAGAUGAGUAUGCCCUGUCUUCUGCCAGCGAAAUGCUGAAUCAAGGACAACGGGAAGUGGUAGAAGACUCACCUUCAGAAAAAUAUCCUGAGAACUCUUCUAAAAGCUUGGAGGGAAAUACAGCCUGCACUAAUCUCAGUAUAGUUCAAUGUGAUGUGUCGCCUAUUUUGGAGCCAAGCGUUUCACCAAGAGCUAAUAGCAGUAGGAGAAGUGUUGGGACUUCAAUGCUCAGUGAUUCAAAGAAGGAUCUUGGAGAUAAAUUGGAUACCCCAGACUUGUCCUUCACAAAGCCUUCAAACAGUAUUUGUUUGAAUUCUCUAUCAAAUCAAAGAAACAAAAGUUGUUUCACUUCAACUGAACAUUUGGCGGCUAGUCUUCAGCGGGGACUUGAAAUUAUUAGUACUCAUCGACAAAGUACAUCUUUGAGGCGCUCCUCAGUCAGAUUUUCUUGCAAAGCUGCUGAUAUUAGUGCAAUCAUACCAGUUGCUAAAGUUGAUGUUGGAGUUCAAACUGUUACAAAAGAUUAUGAGUCAUUUGAAGGUGGUUCAAUGUUUUUGUGUAGUAAAUGUAAGGCAAGAAAUUCACUGCAAGAGCUUAAAGAUGCAGAUGAUGAUGGCUCAAAUUUGCAGCUGGUACCUGUUAAUGGAUUACAGUUGGUAUCUGCAACUGGAUCACAGUCCUGUGAAAACUUCCAGAUUCAAGUACCAAAAGCAGUAGAAAAGGUCUUGGCUGGAGCUAUACGGAGAGAGAUGGCACUUGAAGAUAUAUGCUCCAAGCAAACUUUUGAAAUCACGCAACUCAACCGUUUGAUCCAGCAAUACAAACAUGAACGAGAAUGCAAUGCUAUAAUUAGCCAAACACGUGAAGAUAAGAUCAUUCGCCUUGAAAGUUAUAUGGAUGGUAUUUUACCAAAGGAAGAGUUCAUGGAGGAUGAGUUGUUGGCACUGAUUCAUGAGCAUAAGCUUCUGAAGGCAAAGUAUGAGAAUCAUCCUGAAGUUUUAAGUGACAGACUUGCACUAAGAAGAGUUCAAGAGGAGCUGGAGCGGUAUCAUAACUUCUUUGACUUAGGUGAGAGGGAUGUUUUGCUGGAGGAGAUUCAGGAUUUGAGGAGCCAGUUACAGUUUUAUGUGGACUUUUCACCAAAGUCAUCCAGGAAAGAAAAUUCUCUUCUACAAUUAACAUAUCCAUGUGAGCCCAGUGUGCCUCCAACUUUAUCCACAAUUCCAGAGUCCAAUGAGAAUGAGGAGAGUUCUGAACAGAGUUUUGAAAGGGAGAGAAUUCAAUGGACUGAAACAGAGAGUAAGUGGAUUUCUCUGGUAGAAGAGUUGAGGUUAGACCUACAAACUAGCCGCACCUUGUCUGAAAAAACGAAAACAAGAACUAGAUUUGGAAAAGAAAUGCUCAGAAGAGCUGAAAGAAGCAAUGCAGAGGGCAAUGCAGGGCCAUGCACGAAUGAUUGAACAGUAUGCUGAACUUGAAGAGAGACAUAUUCAACUGCUUGCAAGGCAUAGGAAGGUCCAAGUUGGUAUAGAGGAUGUUAAAAAAGCAGCCACAAAAGCAGGAGUUAGAGGUGCUGAAUCUAAAUUCAUAAAUGCUCUUGCUGCAGAAAUUUCAACUCUGAGAGUGGAGAGGGAAAAGGAAAGACACUAUUAUAGGGAUGAAAAUACAGAACUUCAGAACCAACUUAGGGAUACUGCUGAAGCGGUACAAGCAGCUGGGGAAUUGCUUGCACGGCUUAAAGAAGCAGAAGAAGAUAUUGCAGCUGCUGAGAAACGAGCCAUUCAUGCAGAGAAAGAAGCAAGCGAGGCUAAUAAACAGAUUCUCAAAUUGAAGAAAAAACACGAGGAGGAGAUCAACAGUUUAAACCAUUUACCAGAAGAACCCCGUCUACCUAAAGCUACAUCAGAACCCGUAUAUGAUAAUACUGAGACAGGACACGAUGAUCAGUGGAAAGAAGAAUUCGCGUCAUUCUACAACACCAAAGAGGAGGAGGAUCUACCAAAAUUUGGAGAGCCCUCUUCUUGGUUCUCAGGGUAUGACAGGUGCAAUGUAUAGAUUGUGGAAAGUUUUCAUAGAUUGUUGUUUGUUGUAUGUAUUGAUAAUAGUGUCAUAUAUAGUUUGAAAAGCUAUCGCGUUUUCUUCAAAUUUGAUGAUAGUUAUUGAUAAACAUAAACAAUUGUGAAUAUAACAAACUUGAAUCUAUCAAGUUUGUGUAUCCAUUUACUCAUUGCUUCAUAGGUAUGAAGUCAAUUCCAAACAAUUUGUUCUAUUGUAUUUUGAAGAUUCAUACUUCGUUGCC